UCCUUGUUCGUCUAACGGUCAAGAUACGGCUUUUUCACAGCUGAGAUCGGGGUUCGAUUCCCCGGCAGGGAA